rnacentral:ncRNA from 1 species
GACCCCAAAGAUGGUGAACUAUGCCUAGGCAGGAUGAAGCCAGAGGAAACUGGUGGAGGUCCGUAGCCAUCCUGAUGUAGAAAUCGGUUGUCCGCCCUGGGUAUAGGGGUGAAAGACUAAUCGAACCAUCUAGUAGCUGG